CAGAAUGAAAAUUCUCUGGGGCUUAUGCCUACCACCUCCAGACUCUAAUUACACUAGGAGAAACCAAUGUUGCUGCAGAAUGCUUGAGUUAGCAUUUCCUGACUUUGCUGCCGUGUAGAGAAUUUGCAUGUGUGGACAUUGCUUUGGAUCCCUCUGGAUCAGAAGUUCCCUUGUGGGCCCACUGUGAAGAUGAAUUGCUAAACGAAUUGUGAUACAGCCACACAAUGGACUACUGCUCAGCAAUAAAAAGGAAUGAACUAUUGAUAUGCCCAACAACGUAGAUGAACCUCAAAACCGUUAUGGAAACAAUUGAAGAACACAGUCCUUCAAAAUGAUGGAAUAGACCAACAAAAAGAAGGAGUCAUGGAAAAGAACACAGUCUCCAGGAAAUAGCAUCCAACAGGCACAGAUAAUCUCCAGGAUGGUUGUAAGGGGAGGGUCCUAGUAGGAAACCUGUACAGACUGGUGUAGAAUGAUAGAAGGCAUGUCUUUAGGAAGACAAAACCAAAAAAAAUAUGACAUAACUAU
rnacentral:lncRNA from 1 species